ACUCCUACGGAAGGCAGCAGUGGGGAAUCUUGCGCAAUGGACGAAAGUCUGACGCAGCCAUGCCGCGUGAGUGAUGAAGGCCCUCGGGUCGUAAAGCUCUGUCCAAGGGGACGAAAAGGUGUUGGUGAAUAUCCAGCAUUUCUGACGGUACCCUUGAAGAAAGCACCGGCUAACUCCGUGCCAGCAGCCGCGGUAAUG
rnacentral:rRNA from 1 species